AUGGAAACUGCUACCCUCUGUGUCCAUGUGGUGAAGCACGCUUCCAGUCUGAGGUUCUGGGCAGGUAUGCAUUGUGAGGCUUGAGCACCCUGGAGCCAUCUGGUCUCUGAGCAGGUGAGCAGGCCCUUAUAAAGGUCUUUCGGUGAGCAUAUGAAGGAGCAUUUCAGACCAGUAGGCAGAACUACAGAAUUUCAUUGUCUUGUUUAUUUAUGUUGUGCAUUUUUUUUCUUGAGUUUUUUGAGACAAGGUCUUAAGCCUUCUGCCUCUGUUCCCAUCAGGUGGAGUGAUGUUAGGGUAACAGGGUGCCUUCCGCAGUCCUGACUGAUUGUGUCUGCCAACACUACCAGGGGACCCGCUGUGCUCAGGGCAGCCCAUGUGCUGCUCUGCCCACAUCCAGAGCUCUCGCAAGCUAGGGGCCCUGGGGACUGUUUAUUUAGUAAAGAGGAGUCGUUCCAUGACUCUUGUGAGGUAAUCCUAUGUCCCGUCUAGACUUUGCCUUCUGCCCUCCACUGUUAUCAUCACUUUGGUCCCUUGACUGUGGCCCCUGGCCACCAGCCAUCACAGCAGUCCCUUCCCCAGGUGCUCGUGUCCGACUUUCCCUAACAGUCUUUUAUUUCCAGAGAUUUCUUUAAGCCAUAAUGCCCACCAGGAGCAUCAUGUUUGGCAGACACACAUUUUGUUUUAAGCUUGUUGCUGCCUAUUCUGCCUUAAGCUGGGAAGUGACACUCAUGUCCCGAGCUGGGCUGCCUGCCCAGGAAGGUGCUUGGCAAGCUCAGCCAACUUCCCCUGGGAGCCAGCAUGGUUCUUUGUUACCUCUUGUGAAACAUUUCUAGGGAACCCAUUUUGUUCCUAUUCUAUCCCUUCUGGGGAAAGCAUGCCACAGAGCCCCUCAGCACUGGGGUAGGAAGUGAGCUGUUCACUUCAUCCCUGCCUAGAAAUGGGAAGGAACUGGGUGCUCAUGAGAGAGCAGCCCGGCUGGUGAGAACAGCUCCCCUCCCCAUCCUCAGGCUGUUCUCCUGGCCCCUGCCUGAUCCUGGGAGGAGACUGAGAACAAGGUCCUUCCCACAGCCCUCUGGAGGGAGGGAUCUGGAUCCAUUCAUCAGAGCAUCCUCUUAUAGUCUACUGGCUUUCAAGCCCCCACCCUUCUCCCGACCUGGCUUUCUAGUUGCUUGAACUGUGUCAAAGAAUCAAGGAGGGUGGGGGGAGGGCAAGAUGGCUUAACAGUUAAAGCUUGGUAACCCGAGCUUAAUUCCCAGAAUCCAUGUGGUAGAAAGAGAAAACUGAUUCCCACAAGUUGUCCUCUGGCCUACACACACACACUCACAUACACCAUUAUUACUAAGUAAAUGUAAAAGGAAAAUUAAGCCAAGUGGUGGUGGCGCAUGCCUUUAAUCCCAGUACUCUGGAGGCAGAGACAGGCAGAUCUCUGAGUUCGAGGCCAGCCUAAUCUACAAAGUGAGCUCCAGGACAGGCAGGGCCACACAGGGAAACUUUGUCUCAAAAACACAAAGAGAGAAAACUGGAAAAAGGAAGGAGAGAGCUGUAACUCUGCUCCCUGGACCAGGCACGGGAGCAGCAGCCUACCCAGAACGUGCCUUCUCAGCCCCUGACCAUCCCUGCGCUGGCAGCUCCCACCAAGCCAGCCCUGGCAGCAAGACAAACACCUGCCUCCCAGCAGCUUCUGGGUCAGCACCCAGCAUAGCCAAACCCAUCUCCAGCCUGGAGCAACUGGGGACUAGGAGGAGCCUUCCACCUCCCCUGAGGCCACCAUAGACUCCCAGAGUCAGGGGCCAGCACCAGGCCACAUGUACUACCUCAGCAUCUAGCAUCUGUCUCAGCACUGUGUGGUCCAGAUUGUCCAUCAAGAUGUGCUAGAGUGGGGUCAGACGCCUCACACAGGCGGGUUGACACCCUCCCUCUCCGCACUGGCCCCGCAGCUCGCUGUGGGAUUCCUUCCUGCAUCCCAUGGCGUGCUCCAGUGAGCAAGCCAGGCUUCUGUCUCCUCCUGCCUUGUUUAGCUCUGACUUCAAAUACACCAUGAACCCCCAAACUGUGAGUAGAGUCAGAAGUGGGAAUAGCUUGUUUGCAGUGAGAAAGGGACCACUUUUUUAUAUUUUCAUCGCAAGGGUUUUUGCUUCAAGAGAAACUCUAGAAACUGUAUGUGAUGCUGAUGACCAGGGCCAUGAGGACUGUGGGGAUACCUAGAAUAACUCACAGAACUUGACUGCAGGCUGUGUAAAGACAACAGUAACCGAGUGUAGGGCUGGAGAGGCAGCUCAGCUCAAGCUGCCUAGAACUCCAGCUCCAGGGGAUCCGAUACCCUCCUUCUGACCUCCUCAAGCGUGCAUACACACAAAUAAAAACAGGUAAAUAAUAAUUUGGAAACUGGUACCCAGGGCAAAAGUAUCCUCAAACUUAAAAAAAACACAACUAAGCCUUCACUCUGUCAUGUAACAACUUCUUCUAGAUGGCACCUUAGGGUUCAGCUUCAUCACUUAGAGGUCAUCUAAAUCCUACGGGCACGAAGAACUGUAUGUUAGGAGCUACACCAAGUGGCCUUCCGUGGAGAAAGAAGUCAGGCAUGGUGGUGAAUAAACACCUUUAAUCCCAGCACUCCGAAGGCAGAGCCAGGCAGAUCUCUUGAGUCCAGGCUAGCCUGGUCUACAGAGCAAGUUCCAGGACAGACAGGGCCACACGGAAACCCUGUCUUUCAAAAAAAAAGAAAAGAAAAGAAAGCACGAGCUGCCUGUCGCUUAAUUCAGCAGCCAGUGACUUCUGCCCGUGGGGUCCUUCCGUCUGGAACCCACUUGACAGCCAGUUUCCAUUUAGAUCAUCCUCCCGAAAACUUCCACGUCAGCAGUGGCACAUGGUAACGCUUCCUUUGACCGUGGUGUCCCGUUUGUAAAUUAUGACAGCCAUAAACAAAGAUGGUGGCUUCAGUGGGAGUGCCGACCACACUUCACAGUGAGUCCACAGUUCAUGCCCAGCCCCUCACCCCCGACCCCCAGCCUAGAUCGCCCCACCCUUGCCAUUCGUCAGUAUCCAAGCUGCAGACGCAGCCCAGGCAGAACUCUGCAGCAGUCAGAAUGAGAUCCACCCACGGUGCACAAUGAACACAGUGAUUUGCUGGUCUCCUGUCCCUAGUGUCUGCUGCUAGGAGAGGAAACCAACAAACCCAUUGAAAAGAGAAUGUAAACUGAGUUAAAUAAGAUUGCCCAUCCCUGGGGCUGGGGAUUUAGCUCAGUGGUAGAGCGCUUGCCUAGCAAACGCAAGGCCCUGGGUUCAGUCCCCAGCUCCGAAAAAAAGAAAAAGGAAAAAAAAAAAAAAGAUUGCCCAUCCCUGGGCUGGGGACCACCCUUCCCAGGGCCCUGCUUCUGUAGAGAGGCCCGAGAGUACUCCUACUGUGUGUACUGUGCUGAUAGUAAUCAUCCUUGCAAAGAGCUGGCUCCUAGCACAUUGCUGGCUUACCCUGUGAUGCUUCUACCAUAAGGACAACUCCAUAAAAACCGUAUAAAUACCGGGCUUCAGAAAUACCGUACCAAGCUGGGCAGUGGGCAGUGGUGGCGCACACCUUUGAUCCUAGCACCCAGGAGGCAGAGACAGGCAGAUCUCUGUGAGUUCAAGGCCAGCCUGGUCUACAGAGCUAGUCCUAGGACAGCCAGGACCUCACAAACACUGUCUGGAGGAAAAAAGUAGGUAAAUAAGUAGAAUCUGUCAAAACAAAUCUGUCUCAUUAACAUAUCUGUAUUCCAUGGCAUGGUACCCGUGGAACAGCUCUUCACUUAAACCCUGCAGCUCUCACUAUUCAGUGUUGUUCCCAGACAGAAGACAGCUGUGCUCAGGUGAGGCUGAGUGUGGAAAAGCUGAGCGCCCUUUGCACAGUGCUCUUGCUGGAAAACUGGCGUUCGCAACGGGCGCACAUAAACAGAAUGAAAACCAUUGUCUAAAUAGUGUAAAAUAUUUGAGGGACCAGAAGGUCACAAAGUACAAAACUGUCCAGAGAAUUUCCUCCCACUGUCCCUGUCUCCUGCCUUGUGGGCCAAACGUAUCCGUUGGGUGGAGUGACCGAUUUUCUAUUCCUUUGCUGGUGUCUACUAUAGCAAAGUCAGAAAUCAUUUUUUUAACUUGUAAUGUUUCUUACAAAGUUAUUUUAUGGUUUACAAGCAACACCGAUGCAGAAGGGUGUGUUGAUUUCCGUAAGUGGCUGCAUUUUGUUUACAGGACUUGGGUAUUGUGGCUGACUGGGGUCCGGUCCUCAGCUCUAGCACUAGACCUGGGUCCUGGGGAAAUGUGGUCAUUGUGCUGUUCCCUCGUACCCAGGAUCAGUGAAAGUGUUUUCUCUUUUUACGUAGUUUGUAUGGACUGGGUUUUAUAAUGGUAAGAAAACAGAGUGUUGUAUUUUGAGCUGAAAUUUGUGUACGGUCAAGUAAUUCUGUUUUAUGUAUUGGAAGUGCGUUUACAACUUGAACUAUUUUCUAGAAGAGUGUUGGACAAAGUGAAUUGUCUUCAAGCUGUUUCAUUAACUAAUAAAAUCAUUUGAUGGGGA
ensembl:lncRNA